CCGGUUUGCCGCUUUUAUUACCUUUGCCUGAAAAUUAAACAUAAGAAGGGUGAGUAUUUAAAUACUCAGUAAGAGACCCUCUACUGGUCCGUCAGGGGAAAAUAAAUUGUUAACGUUCUAUUGGGACACCCUGUACAGUCGCAGUCUUGUGAUCCCGUAGGAUACACAUCUCAGUCUAACGCCCGAGGGACGUACAUAUCAGUCUAGUGUUCUGCAGAAACACAUAUCAGUCUAAUGCUCCCGAAGGUGCACAAUAAAUUGGUGAUCCCGUGGGACACCUACAAGGUACACAUCCCAAACAAUCUAACAAUUUUCCCUCAUUCCAUUCAAUCAUCUUUCAAUUACUUCAAAACACAAAGUUCUUUCUUUCAACGUCCUAACAGUCAACUUAUUUUACUUCAGUCAUAUGUCUGUCAAUAAUAUGCUAAUACAUCAGUCAAUCAAACUAUACAGUCAACACACCCCUCAGUUCAUCAGCACACAGUCAUACUUUAACGUAACGUACACCCAAUCUAAACGAAAAUCACAAGUUCACAUCUGCAUCUCAUACAAACACAAUCUACAAUCUUCGUCCUGUCCACAUACACACACUUAUAUAUAUAUUCCAUGACAAUCACGAUAUACAUUCGACGUCAAGUCUACUUCAAUUCAUAUGCAUUCAUAUAUAUUUUCAGUCAAUCCACAGUAUACAUUUAACACAUACAAUUCACAGUCAUAAGUGAGUCCAGUAGAAAAUCCUUACCUCAAAGUUAGGGAAGCUCCUUAAUCAACUAACGUCCUCGAAACAAUCCUAAGCAUAACAAUACAAAAUUCAAUUACUUUCACGAUACAUAUGUCACUUACUUUCCUCAACGUAAGUUCCAACUCACCGAUAUAUUGGCGAACUGAACCUUCAACAAUUCACAAACGGGUUGUGAAUGUAAGGGAGCCUAACGUUACUCCCAACACCUCAACGCACGAAUGUCGAACUCGCAGCAAAAAUCCUAAGUGUGGGUCGGUCAGCGGUCGGCCAAAGGGAACGUGGCGGCUGGGCUUCACGGAUGGAGACCGUCGCGAACAGACCGCGAAUCUGAACGGUUACAGCAAAUCUGAACGGUUACAGCAAAUCUGAACGGUUACAGUAAAUCUGAACGGUUACAGCAACUAGUCGGCCGACGUUGAUAGCAGGUGGAGCGGCGGUUGUGAGCGGGGAGCGUGGUCGACGGAGACAGAACCGGCGGAGACGGUUGCAGAACCGUGGCUUCGACGGAGACAGAACCGGCGAUGGAGACGGCAGAUCGCGCGGACGACUGCUGCAAGGUUGCUUCGCGAACCGGAGAUGGAGACGGCAGAUCGGCGCGCGGGACGACUGCUGCAAGGUUGCUUCGCGAACCGGAGAUGGAGACGGCAGAUCGGGCGUUCGGCUUCAGUAGGGGAGACGCGGCGGUGAGGCUGGGUUUGGACGGAGCGGAGAGGAGAAGAGAAGAAGGAGAUGGCCGGCGGGAGAUGGUCGGCGGCUUGCUGCGAACGGAAGGAGAAGAGGAAUGGAGGUCGGCGGUUGCUGCGAACGGAUGGGGGUCGGUCGCGGCGCUGGGCGGAAGAAGAAAAGAGAAAGAGAAACGGAAGAAGAGAAGUCUCGGGGUGGCGGUUGCUGGGCUGCGGCGGCGGUUGCUGGGCUGCGAACGGAGAGAAGGGGAAGGGCGCACGGGGAGGAAGGAGAAGAGAGAAAAGAAAAGAAAAAGAAAAGAAAAAGAAAAAAGAAAAGAAAAG
rnacentral:lncRNA from 1 species